rnacentral:rRNA from 1 species
UACGAAGGGGGCUAGCGUUGCUCGGAAUCACUGGGCGUAAAGCGCACGUAGGCGGCUUUUAAGUCAGAGGUGAAAUCCUGGAGCUCAACUCCAGAACUGCCUUUGAUACUGAGAGGCUUGAGUCCGGGAGAGGUGAGUGGAACUGCGAGUGUAGAGGUGAAAUUCGUAGAUAUUCGCAAGAACACCAGUGGCGAAGGCGGCUCACUGGCCCGGUACUGACGCUGAGGUGCGAAAGCGUGGGGAGCAAACAGG